UCAGGCCUGGUUCACAUUCUGUCCCACCACACACUGUAGUGCAAGCAGCUUAGCCUCUCCAAGCCUCAGUUUCCCCAUCUGUUAAGUGGAGGGAGACCCCACAUCAGCCAAGUGAUCAGGGUUAGCAUCGCCAGUCAUGUGGAUGUCGUGCACCCAAUGACGAGGGCGCCACACCUCUGUGUUCUCUCCCCUAACCGAGGGACGUGCUACAAGAUGCGUGAGCGGUACCCUCGCAAACCAAGGUCAUGAAAAGCUAGGAAAGAAGGAGAAGCUGUCACAGACCUGAGGAGACCAAGGAGACCCAUGGCUAAAUGUGACGUGAGAUCCUGGACCAGAAAAAGGACGCCCCCCCUCUGGCCGCAAGGGUCGGGAUACCUGAGCUGCCUGGGCCCUCAGUCUGGCCGCCUCAUCCUGGCCACGUGAUUGGUCCAAGGGGAGCCAGGAUACCCUCUUUGAGUCUAAGCCAGUUCAAAGUCGGCUUUCUGCCCCUUGCAAACGAC
rnacentral:lncRNA from 1 species